UUUAAACACGCAAACGCACAGCGGUGUUCGACGCUUAAUUCAUGGAACUAAAAAUGGACACAGUUUGACGCGAACACCGCUGAAACCGCCGACCUCCCUUCUUGUUCGGUGGAAGUACACAAACGGCCCGGCAUUCGGUAGUUGUACCUGACUGCACUAUACCCCAGAUAGGAAUCCCAUGGAGCUCAUUCGUAUGAGAACUGACUUUGUGAAGACUUUGGCUCCAUGGCGAUUAAACUGUAUUCGUGUGGUCUGAGCGCCAUUCGCUUAAUAAUGUGCGCUCAGACCUGAGCUAUCUGGGG
rnacentral:lncRNA from 1 species